rnacentral:rRNA from 1 species
UAAGAACGGGGCUAGCGUUGCUCGGAAUUACUGGGCGUAAAGCGCACGUAGGCGGACUUUUAAGUCGGGGGUGAAAUCCUGGAGCUCAACUCCAGAACUGCCUCCGAAACUGAAAGUCUUGAGUUCGGGAGAGGUGAGUGGAACUGCGAGUGUAGAGGUGAAAUUCGUAGAUAUUCGCAAGAACACCAGUGGCGAAGGCGGCUCACUGGCCCGAUACUGACGCUGAGGUGCGAAAGCGUGGGGAGCAAACAGG